CCUACGGGUGGCAGCAGUAGGGAAUCUUCCACAAUGGGCGAAAGCCUGAUGGAGCAACGCCGCGUGGGUGAAGAAGGUCUUCGGAUCGUAAAACCCUGUUGUUAGAGAAGAAAGUGCGUGAGAGUAACUGUUCACGUUUCGACUGUAUCUAACCAGAAAGCCACGGCUAACUACGUGCCAGCAGCCGCGGUAAUACGUAGGUGGCAAGCGUUAUCCGGAUUUAUUGGGCGUAAAGGGAACGCGGGCGGUCUGUUAAGUUUGAUGUGAAAGCCUUCGGCUUAACCGGAGUAGUGCAUUGGAAACUGGGAGACUUGAGUGCAGAAGAGGAGAGUGGAACUCCAUGUGUAGCGGUGAAAUGCGUAGAUAUAUGGAAGAACACCAGUGGCGAAAGCGGCUUUCUGGUCUGUAACUGACGCUGAGGUUCGAAAGCGUGGGUAGCAAACAGGAUUAGAUACCCCUGUAGUC
rnacentral:rRNA from 1 species